UAGCAAUUAUUUUCUCAUGCACAAGUACAGCAUAAGUUAAAUGAAGGUGCUUUCUGGAAAAAAUGUUGAGUACUGAAAUCCUGAACUGCUAGCAGAACAAGGAAGUGAUUGUUCUUUACUUCUUCAGUCAUCAGGCUUUUGCUGACAAUUAUUUUGGCAUGCAUAGCACAUACACACACAAUGACUGACUAUACAUUUGUGGAACCUUCUGAAAAAAUGAGGAUUAUCCUGUUGUGGGAUUCUGCAGCCCUGUCUGAUGCCUACUGUGACAGAAAAUAAGGUCUAAUAGAGUAAGUCUAGUUUUAGUUUUAUAGCACACUCCCAGAACAUUUACUGGCAGCAGAUACAGUGAUACCAUUUUAAAGUUUACUCCUUUGAUAUCUUCCAUCAGAUCUGAAAAAGGAGUCUGUUCCAAACAGAUAUUUGGGGCUUCUUGGCUGAAGCAUCUUCCCAAUCUUUUGACAAAUUCAAUGUCUCAACACUGAAUCUAACACCCACCACCCCUAAAAUACUGUCAAAGCAAGUGGCUUUCUUUAGAAAUGCCCUUUUUCCAAGCUUGGGAUGCUGCAAAUUCCUCUUCAGAUGCAUUAAGUCUAGCUUGUGGGAGGAUCUGAUGAUGUCCUCUCUUUUCAUCUUCAUCUGUAGCAUAUCACUUGUUCCUGCCCUGUAGCCUUGGUGGCUGAUCCCCUCUGCACACCCUCCUCUGGCUGCCUAUGGGUAUUAACGAGACUGCAGAGUGAGUUUUUGUGCUCCUGCUGGUCCUGGAAGCUGCCACAAGCAAAGGCUGGAAAGUCAAAUCAUGCCGCCGGAUCAUGUGGUGAUCAGACACCUGGAGAUAGCUUGACACUGGCAAGUUCUUGAACCUCUGAGAAGCAAUAGGAGAUGCAAUAUAGAACGUCUCAGACACAUCCAUGGUACAUACCACAUACCACGGAUUUGCUACAUACCCUUCAGCAGCUCGUACCACCUCUUUUAUUAUUCCUUCAUAUACCGUCACCAUUUAAAGUCACUCUACUGGGAAUGCAAACCGGAUCAAAGAGUUCCAGUAAAUGGUGAUGUCCAGCUUCCACUGGAAGAUUAUGAAGCACGAGCAGCCCCUAAGACUGUGUAAGUCAAAACCCAUGGUACUGUGAUGUGAUAUAGUGGCAGCUGUCAUUUGAACCUGCUUAUUGGCACUGUUAUUCCCUCAAGCAGGAUGCUGAAGCAGGUAUAAGACCAGUGCCUGUCAGAUGUCCCAACCAACUAUGAUUUGGUGUGGCUGAGUCAAGGUGAAAUUGAUUUAUAAAACUUUCUUUGCAAGGCGUAAC
rnacentral:lncRNA from 1 species